UAUCACAUGUCAGCAGGAUGUCCUAAGU
rnacentral:piRNA from 1 species